CCAACCAAUUGCUGUCAGAUUUAAAUGCCCGCCCAUCUACUUCAUUGUCGCUCAGAUCGCAGUACUUACAGGUAUAUAUAGGUAUGAUAACCCUUCGUCAAACAUCACUUCACCUCCGCUUUUUGUCUCCGACUUGUCAAUCGAGCCCGAUGUGAAUUACGACAAGACUUACCCAAACCCCCUGAGCCACAAGAGCUGGAGCCCUGCGACCUUCGACCCUCCAUGCCGAAUUUCUCAGAUGCCGCCGACAAACUAUAUUUUGUUGAUUUUUAGACUAAAUAAAAUAAUGUAAUCCCA